UCCUAGCACAUCCUCAAGGGUUUCCUCCAGCCGUGAUUAAGUUUCUCAGGACUCUUGGGAGAUGGUGACGGUUUAGGAAGAUUCUCAGCAGUGGGAGAGCAAACCCACAGGCAGGAUGGAGCCUGGAGUUCAAAGCACAGUCCCCGGGUGAGGGGCAGUGCUGGGGUCACCAUCCCAAGCCCCACCUGAGGGAUGUUUGGAUCCAGGACUCCCCUCAGGCUGCCCAUCCUGGGGAGAACUGCCCCACUAAGGUCACCCCAUGACACAAGGGAAGGCUCCACCAGCAGAAAAAAGCCUGAGAGAAAAGCCUGAGAUUUAUCUAUUUGUGUGUUUGUUAGGCCAGGAGGAGCUGGGGGAGGCCCAGCUCUGCCCCUCUUAGCCCCUAUUUCCCCUCCUGUGCACAGGGGAAAGGGCCCAAAUCCAGGCUCCCUUCCCUGCUCCCCUUGGCUUGUGGCUGCCACAGGACCACAGGGAACCAAGGCUGACGGCACAAAGUGGGAUGACUUCAGCAGUGGUCAUAGGAAAGGGAAAAAAGGAAAAACAAGGUGCAAAAUCCCAACCUUCUAUUUUUCAGCAUCCAAACUCUUACCACCGGCAUGAGUUAGCGAAAUAAAAGAAAUGCUUUCCUACCCUUCCAAGAAAACCCAGGAGAUGGCAAAUUUUUUUUAAGAGCCUGGAUAAUAGAGCUGGCUGCUGAUGACUUUGGAAAGCCAGCCAAAACCUAACGCUUCCGCCCGAGGAUUUGUCUCUCCCGGCAGCAUUAAGCAGCCCCCGCCCUGGGAAGCAGCUUCCUGGGAUGCUGCGCCGGCCUCGCACCCUCCCCCGCAGCUGUGGGAGGGCAGUGGGGAUGCAGGAUGGGGCCGGCACGGCCAGCACGGAGGGGAGGGCUCUGUGUGACCCUGCACUGCCUGGGUGCCCCCAGCAUGACAGAAUUCUUCCUUCCCAUCACCGUUUUAACUCGCCUGCCUACACCAAGCACGGAAUCAGCCCACCCUGCGAAGGGAUGGAAGAGCAAACGGCCCUGGCUGCCCCUGCAGGGACUGGGUGCUGCUGUUUGGGCAGAGCCAGCUCCUGCUCCAGCAGGGGAGACUCGGGAAUGGCAGUUCAGGAUCCUUCCCUUGGGCUGACUGAGAGUUUACAGGCUCGCUGGCAAGCCAAGGUUGCAAAUAGAGACCUGAAGAACAGGGAACCCUCAGCUUUGUGGGGAGGAGGGGAUGCAGGUGGGAAAAAAACCAGGUGAAAUGUCUUCCAGGAAUUUUUCUUCAUCUCAUAAAAAUGCACAUUAAAAAAAGCCAACAAACGAAUCCAAACCACAGGGUUCAACCAGACUGACACCUCUCCCAGAGGAGCUGUUUGAAGCAGCCCUGGCCUGCACUGAAAUCACCUGCCCAGCUCCAGCAGGGGCUGAGGCUCAGGUUUAUUUAAUUGCCACUUCAGAGAGGGGCACUGGCCACAAAGGCAGCUCCCCCACGUCUCCAGGCACAGCCCAGCUGACCAGCAAAGCCACCUCCUUGUACAACACCUUGUCUAGGGCUGCUGCACUCAGAAAGGUCCUGAGCAGCAGAAAGCUGGUCCAUUAUUAUGUGCUGGCAUAGAAAUAUUGACCACAUGUUAAAGCUUGAAGUAGGUCAGGCAGCCAUCUGGUCUUGCUGACAGACCUCCGUGGCCACGGUUAAAGAUUCUCAUUUAUAAAAGCUUCACAGCUUGGAUCAAAUUUGAAAGACCAACCAUAAACACGCUGCAGCCUCUGCUCCAGCUUCAGGAGUUAGAAAACCCACAGUUUGACGUUUAUUGGCUCCUGUUUUAAAAACAGCUGAAGCUUAGUCUAUUUCUACUAAUUAAAGCCCGUCAUUUCCCAAGUGUGAUUGUCUCGGCCUCCUGCCCGAGGUGUCAGUGGUGGGGGCAGCCAGGGAGCCCCUCCCUCACCCAGCACUGAAUCCAGCACAUAAAAUAACCUGGAAGCUUUGCAGCAGAUGAAUGAAAUAAAGAGACUGCCCCCCACUUUUUUUUUUCCAAACAGUUCACAUUUAUUGAUAACAAUAAAAAAAUCUUUUAAAGACUAUCUGUAUUUUAUUACCAAGAAUGAGGUAUUAUGUAUACAAAACAUUUACAGAAUUUGAUAUGCAGUUCAUGAGGAGGGACAGGGAAGUGAAGGA